AUUCAUCUACCCUGCCCUCCUUCGAACGAGUCCAACAAUGCUUUCAUCGCCAAACUUUUUGUUCAUGGUAGAGCUCGUGAGCAGCCGAGUGAAAACGUUUAUUCACGUAGGCCUACUGCUUUUAUCCUCCCCCCAUCCAGUUAGUCAAAAGAUGGCCGAGGAAAGGCGACGAAGACGAAAGAGAAGAAGGGCGAAGGUAAAAUAUUGGAAGGAUCGAAUCGAUUAUAAAGGGAUCAUCAACAGUGUUUCAACGACUCUCCUCCUUGUGAUGGAAGGGACAUAUAUAAAAAUGGAAGAUUAAGAAAAAUUGUGUAAACCAAGAAAUGGGCAGAGAAGCAGAACGACUUAGCAUAGGGGUCUUUCUGGAAGGUCUUUGAUGUUUGUAUGGGAAUUUCAAGGCCCUCGACAAUAAAUGUGAUAAGUCCAGCACUGAACCGUUUGUCAAGAUUUUCGUCAAUGCUUUCAAAUUUCAGUGCCAAAUGAAACAACAAAUUUAAUACAAAAAAUGAUUAAGUGAAUAAAAUCUUUCAAAGAA
rnacentral:sRNA from 1 species